rfam:Triticum aestivum genome assembly, contig: Triticum_aestivum_CS42_TGACv1_scaffold_471579_6AL
CAAAUACUCCCUCCGUACGAAUUACUUGUCACAAGUAUGGAUGUAUCUAGAUGUAUUUUAGUUAUAGAUACAUCCAUUUCUGUGACGAGUAAUUUGGAACAGAGGGAGUAGUAC